rnacentral:piRNA from 1 species
UGGAUCAUGAGCUUCAGGUGUUCUACACAAU